rnacentral:rRNA from 1 species
GAUGGCGACCGGCGCACGGGUGAGUAACACGUAUCCAACCUGCCGAUGACUCGGGGAUAGCCUUUCGAAAGAAAGAUUAAUACCCGAUGGCAUAGUUCUUCCGCAUGGUGGAACUAUUAAAGAAUUUCGGUCAUCGAUGGGGAUGCGUUCCAUUAGGUUGUUGGCGGGGUAACGGGCCCACCAAGCCUUCGAUGGAUAGGGGUUCUGAGAGGAAGGUCCCCCACAUUGGAACUGAGACACGGUCCAAACUCCUACGGGAGGCAGCAUG